rnacentral:misc_RNA from 1 species
UUCCGCCGCUCAGCACGGAGACCUUGCAACCCCUAGGGGAGGCAGCACGACAGUAAACAAAGCUUGCCGCUUGCAAGUCGGCCAAUUGGCUGGCAACACAAUCGAAUUGACGGGGACCUCCUAAAGCCUGUAACACCAACCGUCCGGGGAAACUCGGGCGAGGCCCUCACGGGGUGGUAAGAGAGUACAGGAUGUAACAAUGGACAAUCCGCAGCGAAGACCCUACCGGCUCCGGCCCACGGGUACCGUU